UACGGGGGGGGCAAGCGUUGUUCGGAAUUACUGGGCGUAAAGGGCUCGUAGGCGGCCAACUAAGUCCGACGUGAAAUCCCCAGGCUCAACCUGGGAACUGCGUCGGAUACUGGAUGGCUUGAAUUCGGGAGAGGGAUGCAGAAUUCCAGGUGUAGCGGUGAAAUGCGUAGAUAUCUGGAGGAAUACCGGUGGCGAAGGCGGCAUCCUGGACCGACAUUGACGCUGAGGAGCGAAAGCUAGGGGAGCAAACGGG
rnacentral:rRNA from 2 species